rnacentral:rRNA from 1 species
AGGGAAACAACCCAGACCGUCAGCUAAGGUCCCAAAGUGUAUGUUAAGUGGGAAACGAUGUGGGAAGGCUAAAACAGCUAGGAGGUUGGCUUAGAAGCAGCCAUCCUUUAAAGAAAGCGUAAUAGCUCACUAGUCGAGUCGGCCUGCGCGGAAGAUGUAACGGGGCUAAACAUACCACCGAAGCUACGGCUGCAUACAUUAGUAUGCGGGGUAGGGGAGCGUUCUGUAAGUGGCUGAAGGUGUGCCGGGAGGCAUGCUGGACAUAUCAGAAGUGCGAAUGCUGACAUGAGUAACGAUAAUGCGGGUGAAAAACCCGCACGCCGGAAGACCAAGGGUUCCUAUCCCAUGUUAAUCAGGGUAGGGUAAGUCGACCCCUAAGGCGAGGCUGAAGAGCGUAGUCGAUGGGAAACGGGUUAAUAUUCCCGUACUUGGAAUAAUUGCGAUGGGGGGACGGAGCAGGCUAAUCAAGCAUGGCGUUGGUUGUCCAUGUGAAAGUGAGUAGGCUGGUGACUUAGGCAAAUCCGGGUCACUAAGGCUGAGACACGAGACGACACUCUACGGAGUGGAAGUUGAUGAUGCCCUACUUCCAGGAAAAGCCUCUAAGCUUCAGAUAAUGUGGAACCGUACUCUAAACCGACACAGGUGGUCAGGUAGAGAAUACUAAGGCGCUUGAGAGAACUCGGGUGAAGGAACUAGGCAAAAUGGUACCGUAACUUCGGGAGAAGGUACGCCGACCAUGGUGAUGGGACUUGCUCCCUAAGCUGAGGUCGGUCGCAGUGACCUGGUGGCUGCAACUGUUUAUUAAAAACACAGCACUCUGCUAAUUCGAAAGAAGACGUAUAGGGUGUGACACCUGCCCGGUGCCGGAAGGUUAAUUGAUGGGGUUAGCGUAAGCGAAGCUCUUGAUCGAAGCCCCAGUAAACGGCGGCCGUAACAAUAACGGUCCUAAGGUAGCGAAAUUCCUUGUCGGGUAAGUUCCGACCUGCACGAAUGGCGUAACGAUGGCCACACUGUCUCCUCCCGAGACUCAGCGAAGUUGAAAUGUUUGUGAUGAUGCAAUCUCCCCGCGGAAAGACGGAAAGACCCCAUGAACCUUUACUGUAGCUUUGCAUUGGACUUUGAAUCAAUCUGUGUAGGAUAGGUGGGAGGCUUUGAAGUGUGGACGCCAGUCUGCAUGGAGCCGACCUUGAAAUACCACCCUUUAAUGUUUGAUGUUCUAACGUUGACCCGUAAUCCGGGUUGCGGACAGUGUCUGGUGGGUAGUUUGACUGGGGCGGUCUCCUCCCAAAGAGUAACGGAGGAGCACGAAGGUUGGCUAAGUACGGUCGGACAUCGUACGGUUAGUGUAAUGGUAGAAGCCAGCUUAACUGCGAGACAGACACGUCGAGCAGGUACGAAAGUAGGUCAUAGUGAUCCGGUGGUUCUGAAUGGAAGGGCCAUCGCUCAACGGAUAAAAGGUACUCCGGGGAUAACAGGCUGAUACCGCCCAAGAGUUCAUAUCGACGGCGGUGUUUGGCACCUCGAUGUCGGCUCAUCACAUCCUGGGGCUGAAGUCGGUCCCAAGGGUAUGGCUGUUCGCCAUUUAAAGUGGUACGCGAGCUGGGUUUAGAACGUCGUGAGACAGUUCGGUCCCUAUCUGCCGUGGGCGUUGGAAGAUUGAAGGGGGCUGCUCCUAGUACGAGAGGACCGGAGUGGACGAACCUCUGGUGUUCGGGUUGUCAUGCCAAUGGCAUUGCCCGGUAGCUACGUUCGGAAUCGAUAACCGCUGAAAGCAUCUAAGCGGGAAGCGAGCCCUGAGAUGAGUAAUCCCUAGAGCUUUAAGCUCUCUAAAGGGUUGUUGGAGACUAC